ensembl:snRNA U6 U6 spliceosomal RNA
GUGCUCGCUGCAGCAGCACACAUACUAAAAUUGGAAUGAUACAGAGAAGGUUAGCAUGACCCCUGCACAAGGAUGACAUGCAGGUUUUUGAAGUGUUCCAUAUUUUU